UAGGGAAUCUUCCACAAUGGACGAAAGUCUGAUGGAGCAACGCCGCGUGAGCGAUGAAGGCCUUCGGGUCGCAAAGCUCUGUUGUUAGGGAAGAAUAAGUACCGGAGUAACUGCCGGUACCUUGACGGUACCUAACCAGAAAGCCACGGCUAACUACGUGCCAGCAGCCGCGGUAAUACGUAGGUGGCAAGCGUUGUCCGGAAUUAUUGGGCGUAAAGCGCGCGCAGGCGGUUUCUUAAGUCUGAUGUGAAAGCCCACGGCUCAACCGUGGAGGGUCAUUGGAAACUGGGAAACUUGAGUGCAGAAGAGGAAAGUGGAAUUCCACGUGUAGCGGUGAAAUGCGUAGAGAUGUGGAGGAACACCAGUGGCGAAGGCGACUUUCUGGUCUGUAACUGACGCUGAGGCGCGAAAGCGUGGGGAGCAAACAGGAUUAGAUACCCUGGUAGUCCACGCCGUAAAACGAUGAGUGCUAAGUGUUAGAGGGUUUCCGCCCUUUAGUGCUGCAGCUAACGCAUUAAAGCACUCCGCCUGGGGGAGUACGGUCGCAAGACUGAAAC
rnacentral:rRNA from 1 species